UACGGAGGAUGCGAGCGUUAUCCGGAUUUAUUGGGUUUAAAGGGUGCGUAGGCGGGCUUUUAAGUCAGCGGUAAAAAUUCGGGGCUCAACCCCGUCCGGCCGUUGAAACUGGGGGCCUUGAGUGGGCGAGAAGAAGGCGGAAUGCGUGGUGUAGCGGUGAAAUGCAUAGAUAUCACGCAGAACUCCGAUUGCGAAGGCAGCAUACCGGCGCCCUACUGACGCUGAGGCACGAAAGCGUGGGUAUCGAACAGG
rnacentral:rRNA from 1 species